rnacentral:rRNA from 1 species
UACAGAGGUCCCAAGCGUUGUUCGGAUUCACUGGGCGUAAAGGGUGCGCAGGUGGUCGGGUAAGUCUGAUGUGAAAUCCCGCAGCUUAACUGCGGAAUGGCAUUGGAUACUAUUUGGCUAGAGGGUUGGAGGGGGGACUGGAAUUCUCGGUGUAGCAGUGAAAUGCGUACAUAUCGAGAGGAACACCAGUGGCGAAGGCGAGUCCCUGGACAACUCCUGACGCUGAGGCACGAAAGCUAGGGGAGCAAACAGG